UUGCACUGUUAACUGAGGAGGCUGAUUCCGUUAUGUGCGCACCUCCAUCAUUACGGUGCUAGAUAAGCCUCAGUUUGCAGAAGGGGCUGCACUAUAUAUGGUGCCUCUCUUUCGAAGGCUGAGAUCAAGC